rnacentral:RNase_P_RNA from 1 species
GUUGUCCGAAAGAUGGCGUGGGGGGUGACCCACAGGUCCUUGUGGCCUCGUUCCCCCGGGAAGGUCUGAGAAAAGGCCGAGCUCUCCACCCCAGGGUGGAGAGCGUUGGGAUCGAGAAGGACCCCGGUCGUGAGGGCGGGAGGCUGUAAUAGAAACGUCACCCUGCGGGGUUUGAACCACAGCCUCGGUCAGCAGCCUGAGUGCGAUUGCCACCGAACACAAUUCAGACUAGUCUUCGGACAAC